AUGAAGGAAAAAAGUUUUGGUGCGGGUACAGCUGACUAGCACAAAAAUAACGUUGUGAUAGUCAAAACGAUACGAUAUAUUGUCAAAUCACUGCUGCAAUCCAUAUCCUGGCCAUCACUGCUGCAACGCACACACAUUUAGCUCGACAAAUAGGAGUGAAAAUGCGCUUCCAUAAAAGUUGUUCAACAAUCUUGGGCAGAGGGCCAGGAAAUGGAUUUCAUCUGACUAGCUUCUUCUUGGGCUGUCAACAGUCAAAUCUAUUGGAGGUGCCUCCAUAUCCAUAGUGCUGCAAUGGACUCCUGGGCCUGGGAGCUGGCUUGGAUCUAUGGAGGACAGAAGUGAGGCUUUGGUCAUGGAGUCCUCUGACAGAAAGAUAGGUUGAUACUGAUGUCUGAAUUAGGAAAGAUUGUGUACUCCGCAUUAAAAUGAUACCAGGCACAUCUAGAACUUUUCAAUGUGAAUGACAAUAAA